rnacentral:rRNA from 1 species
CCAUGCCGCGUGUGUGAAGAAGGCUUUCGGGUUGUAAAGCACUUUCAGUGAGGAGGAAAAGUUAGUCGUUAAUACCGGCUAGCCUUGACGUUACUCACAGAAGAAGCACCGGCUAACUCCGUGCCAGCCCCGGCGGUGACUGAGCGGGCUGGCAAGGCGCAUA